GCACCCGUAGCUCAAUUGGAUAGAGUAUAUGACUUCGGAUCAUAGGGUUGCAGGUUCGAGCCCUGCCGGGUGCA
rnacentral:tRNA from 1 species